GCUGAGACUAGAGUCCCAUCCUGACACAGCGCUUGUCCUGGGCUGCUAGAGUUUCGAAGAGAAGCUGUUGGUCCUGAUUCUCUGUCAGGGACCUUCAAUGUCCCUCUUAGCGUCCAGAUCACAAACAUUA